rnacentral:misc_RNA from 1 species
GGAGAAAAUUGGCAAGUCUUAACAAAAAAGUUUCAAUCUUUUCACUUUACUGACCCAAUUGUUCAAGAAGUGCUCUUACAGCUCAAAGAACCUCAUGAUGCCAAAAAUGCCCUCAGUUUCUUCCAUUGGUCAGCAAAAAGUUUUAAUUCUCGACAUGGGGUUUUCAUUUAUUGCAUUAUAAUUCAUAUUCUUGCGAAAUCUAAGCUUGUUAGACAUGCCAACGCGUUGAUUGAAUCUGUUUUGAGGAAAGAAUCAGGGGUUGAUGGACAUGU